AAGACGGUGCAUUCAGGCUCUCUGUGAAAGAAGAAAAGGGAGAGGAAAAAAGGGAAAAGCUCCUCACAAACAGCUCUGCCACCCUUGAAACAUAAAGGUCGUAGUUUAUUUAUGAUGUUAAAAACUCCAGGUACCGUCAUCAUUUUACAAAGCAAAUCACAGAGCGGUAAACGCCAAGGAGAUUAUUAAUAAAAAACCUGUUUUUCUGGGAAAAGGGGAAAGACAGCGCAUAACGUUGGAGCCUUACAGGCGGCAUAAAUCCGCAUCGUCCGCAAAAGUUUGAGGCGAAUAUUUCUUUGCUGUUUUGCUGUGGUUCCCGCGAGCGCUGCCCAGCCGGGUCUCGGCCGGGGUUUCGUGUCGAUGACAGCUUGGGGCAGCUCCGACGGAAGCUGACCGCUAGCAUCAGCCAUCUCCCGCCUCUAGCAGAGCGAGCAGAUGCUCCGUCUGCCCAAGAAACGCGGUCCUGAGAACCGGCUCUGCUUGUGGAGUUAAAAAGAGCUUUCGCCAUUGACCGUUGGGAGCGGGGAAGACGCUCCCAGGAGCUGCGUGAUCCCUCUGCAGCAUCGCUAGACCCUCUCCAAGGCUGCUGGGGCUUGUCCUGCACUGCCAGCCCUGUCCCCUGCCCCUGCCUUGCCUCCUCGAGGAGCAAGAGAGGCCCAGCUCUGCACCGGAGACGUGCACCAGAAAAGUCUCUGCGACUCAGAGAAGGAAAACAAGCUGCACCCCUGGAAACCGCCCUGCGAUAAAGUUUAUUCUCUCCGCUGGAAACUCGGCAGCGAAGCGCUUGCCGGGAGGCGUCGCCGGGCCCGGUGGAGGACGGCGGGAGCCGGCGAGGAUAUUCCCACGGGUUGGCCUUACGCAAGGCUUUGGGGCAUUUUUGACGCUGCUAAGAAUAAAUGCAAUUACUCG